CAUAGAGGACGGAGUCGGUGAGGCUCUCCGCGAAAUAGUGGCCCUGGUGGUUUUGGCCUGGGCUGAAGCCCCGGUUGACUACCUCGAGGCGAAGUUUCUCCAACUCGACAGGGUCGACCGAUCGGGUCACCACCAGGUAGUCGCGCAGCGCGAUGCCGUGCCGAUUCUCCUCGGCGGUCCAACGGUUGACCCACU
rnacentral:sRNA from 3 species